rnacentral:rRNA from 1 species
UCGAGAAUCUUCGGCAAUGGGCGCAAGCCUGACCGAGCGACGCCGCGUGGAGGACGAAGGCCUUCGGGUUGUAAACUCCUGUCGAGGGGGAGGAAGGCGUAAGCUUGACCGAUCCCUGGAGGAAGGACGGGCUAAGUUCGUGCCAGCAGCCGCGGUAAGACGAACCGUCCGAACGUUAUUCGGAAUUACUGGGCUUAAAGCGCGUGUAGGCGGAUUCGCACGUCGGGCGCUGAAAUCCCCUGGCUUAACCAGGGAAGUGGCACCGAUACGGCGAGUCUGGAGGGAGGUAGGGGGGUCUGGAACUUCCGGUGGAGCGGUGAAAUGCGUUGAGAUCGGAAGGAACGCCCGUGGCGAAAGCGAGGCCCUGGACCUUUUCUGACGCUGAGACGCGAAAGCCAGGGGAGCGA